AUGGCGGCGGCGGCGGUGGCGGGGUGCUUCCCCGCUUGCUGCCGCUGCGCGUCCUCCUCCCGGUCCCGGGUGACGGCCGCGUCCACGUCGGUCGCCGCCUGCGUGGUCCAGCCGCGCCGGAGGAGCAGGGCGUCGGCGUCGCCUUCCCUAUCUCGCCUGGGGCUCGGGGAGGCGGCGGCGAGGACGACGAUGAUCAGGACGACGACGAGGAGGGGGCGGCGGGCGUUCCGGGUGCGCGCGGGGGUGGGCGUGGAGAUCGCCAGCGCCGUGGAGGUGAUCAACGACCUGGGCUUCGACACCCUCACCUUCCUCGGCGUCACCGUCCUCGUCGUCCCCGCCUUCCGCGUCGUCAAGGCUAGCCCGAUCCUCGGCUUCUUCUGCGCCGGCGUCGUCCUCAACCAGUUCGGCCUCAUCAGGAACCUCACCGACGUCAAGCUCCUCUCCGAGUGGGGGAUCCUCUUCCUGUUGUUCGAGAUGGGGCUGGAGCUCUCCCUCUCUCGCCUCAAAGCCCUUGCCAAGUUCGCCUUCGGGAUCGGUUUGCCUCAGGUUCUUUUGUCAACGCUGGCCUUUGCGGCAUUUGAGCUUCCCCCUAAUGGUGCUAUUGGAACAAGAAUCCUGCAGUUCCUCUUUAAUUCAAGACCUGACCUGGUGAAUAUCAGGAGUGUCGACGAAGCAAUAGUGAUUGGAGCUGCCCUCUCCUUAUCUUCGUCUGCUUUUGUUCUUCAGCUUCUUGCUGAGAAAGGUGAGCUUGCAACAAGAUUUGGUUCGGCCACACUGGGAAUCCUCCUCCUCCAGGAUAUUGCCGUUGUUCCUCUCUUGGUCAUACUCCCUGUUCUAGAGAGUCAGAAUGUUGUGGAGCAAAGUGUGUGGCCUAUGCUACUAGCUGAAAGCUUAAAAGCACUGGGUGGACUUGGCAUACUUUCACUUGGAGGGAAAUAUCUCAUCAGGCGCAUCUUUGAGUUUGUUGCAGAGUCGAGGAGCUCAGAAGCAUUUGUUGCCCUCUGCCUUCUCACCGUUUCAGGAACCUCACUUCUCACCCAGUGGUUGGGCUUUAGUGACACUCUAGGUGCUUUUCUGGCUGGGGCCCUCCUUGCAGAAACAAACUUCCGUACGCAAAUAGAAGCUGACAUAAGACCAUUCAGAGGCUUGCUCCUUGGAUUGUUCUUUGUGACAACAGGAACUUCUAUCGACAUGCAGCUUCUCAUCCGUGAGUGGCCUAAUGUUCUAUCGCUGUUGGCUGGCCUUAUUGCAAUCAAGACAUUGAUAACUACUGCAUUAGCAACAAGAGUCGGACUAACUUUUCAAGAGAGUGUAAGGAUAGGAUUGCUGCUUUCUCAAGGAGGGGAGUUUGGGUUCGUGGUAUUUUCUUUGGCAAACAGGCUUGGCGUCCUACCGCUUGAGCUGAAUAAGCUGCUCAUUAUCGUCGUUGUGCUGUCAAUGGCAUUAACUCCGUUACUGAAUGACCUUGGAAGAAAAGCAGCAGGAAUCAUUGAUGAGAGAUCUGAAACAAAAGAAGUAAAACCAGCUGAGGAGGCAAAUUAUGGUGCGACUGAACCUAUUGUCAUUCUUGGCUUUGGAGAGAUGGGACAGGUCCUUGCAAAGUUUUUGGCUGCACCAUUAUCUUUCGGGCUCGAGCGAGAUACAGAAGGAUGGCCGUAUGUCGCGUUUGAUCUAAAUCCUGCUGUUGUAAAGUCAGCCAGAAAAUCAGGAUUUCCAGUGUUAUAUGGAGAUGGUUCGCGCCCCGCCGUUAUGCAAUCUGCUGGCAUAUCUUCUCCUAAAGCUGUCAUGAUCAUGUAUACCGGGAAGGAAGAAACAGUCGAGUCUGUCGACAGAUUGCGACAAGCUUUUCCUGCGGUUCCCGUGUAUGUUAGGGCUCAAGACAUGUCUCAUUUGUUGGAUUUAAGGAAAGCAGGUGCGACCGAUGUUGUUCUGGAAAAUGCUGAGACUAGCUUGCAACUCGGCUCGAUGCUUAUGAAAGGGCUGGGUGUCAUGUCUGAUGAUGUAUCUUUCCUGAGUAAGCUUGUGAGGGACUCGAUGGAGUUACAAGCUCAGGAGGCACUCAACAACGUCGAGUCUCGUGAAACUACUACCAUGGAGUCACUUCAGGUUAGGGUAUCGGACUUGGUCGAGUCCAAUGGGAACGGUUCCGGAAUGAUUCCCCGGGAGCAAUCGCUAGGUCUAAGCAGUCGCCCGGAGGUACGGGUGAUAAAAACGACUCCAGAGAAUCCCAUGCCUAAUUUGAACACCAAAAAUGAAUCUGAAGACGGUGUCAAAUAUUGUCUCCUGGAAACCGCUGACGGCGAGGAAACGGUGGAGCCUCCAGCGGAAGCAAGGAGAUGA
rnacentral:rRNA from 1 species